UAGGGAAUCUUCCACAAUGGACGCAAGUCUGAUGGAGCAACGCCGCGUGAGUGAAGAAGGCUUUCGGGUCGUAAAACUCUGUUGUUGGAGAAGAAUGGUCGGCAGAGUAACUGUUGUCGGCGUGACGGUAUCCAACCAGAAAGCCACGGCUAACUACGUGCCAGCAGCCGCGGUAAUACGUAGGUGGCAAGCGUUAUCCGGAUUUAUUGGGCGUAAAGCGAGCGCAGGCGGUUUUUUAAGUCUGAUGUGAAAGCCCUCGGCUUAACCGAGGAAGUGCAUCGGAAACUGGAAAACUUGAGUGCAGAAGAGGACAGUGGAACUCCAUGUGUAGCGGUGAAAUGCGUAGAUAUAUGGAAGAACACCAGUGGCGAAGGCGGCUGUCUGGUCUGUAACUGACGCUGAGGCUCGAAAGCAUGGGUAGCGAACAGGAUUAGAUACCCUGGUAGUCCAUGCCGUAAACGAUGAAUGCUAGGUGUUGGAGGGUUUCCGCCCUUCAGUGCCGCAGCUAACGCAUUAAGCAUUCCGCCUGGGGAGUACGACCGCAAGGUUG
rnacentral:rRNA from 1 species